GGCUCAGUGGUAGAGUGCUUGCCUUUCAUGCAUGAGGCCCUGGGUUCGAUUCCUCAG
rnacentral:tRNA from 1 species